UCCCAUAUGGUCUAGCGGUUAGGAUUUCUGGUUUUCACCCAGACGGCACAGGAUUUGACUCCCGGUAUGGGAA
rnacentral:tRNA from 1 species